rnacentral:rRNA from 1 species
UACGUAGGGUGCAAGCGUUGUCCGGAAUUAUUGGGCGUAAAGAGCUCGUAGGCGGUUUGUCGCGUCUGCUGUGAAAACUCGGGGCUUAACUCCGGGCCUGCAGUGGGUACGGGCAGACUAGAGUGCGGUAGGGGAGACUGGAAUUCCUGGUGUAGCGGUGAAAUGCGCAGAUAUCGGGAGGAACACCGGUGGCGAAGGCGGAUCUCUGGGCCUUACCUGACGCUGAGGCGCGAAAGCUAGGGGAGCGAACAGG